AGUGGCGCACGGGUGCGUAACACGUAUGCAACCUACCCUUUACUGGGGAAUAACCCCGCGAAAGCGGGGCUAAUACCCCAUGGUAUUAUUGAGUGGCAUCACUUAAUAUUUAAAGAUUUAUUGGUAAAGGAUGGGCAUGCGUCCCAUUAGUUAGUUGGUAAGGUAACGGCUUACCAAGACGAUGAUGGGUAGGGGUUCUGAGAGGAUUAUCCCCCACACUGGUACUGAGACACGGACCAGACUCCUACGGGAGGCAGCAGUAAGGAAUAUUGGGCAAUGGUCGAGAGACUGACCCAGCCAUGCCGCGUGCAGGAAGACGGCCUUAUGGGUUGUAAACUGCUUUUAUAUGGGACUAACCUACUCUACGUGUAGAGUACUGCAUGUACCAUAAGAAUAAGCAUCGGCUAACUCCGUGCCAGCAGCCGCGGUAAUACGGAGGAUGCAAGCGUUAUCCGGAAUCAUUGGGUUUAAAGGGUGCGUAGGCGGACUAGUAAGUCAGUGGUGAAAUCUCCGGGCUCAACCUGGAGUCUGCCAAUGAUACUGUUAGUCUAGAGUUUAGAUGAUGUUGGCGGAAUGUGUCAUGUAGCGGUGAAAUGCAUAGAUAUGACACAGAACACCGAUAGCGAAGGCAGCUGACAAAACUAACACUGACGCUGAUGCACGAAAGCGUGGGGAUCAAACAGGAUUAGAUACCCU
rnacentral:rRNA from 1 species